GUAGGUGAACCUGCGGAAGGAUCAUUCAUAAUAAGUGUUUUAUGGCACUUUUUAAAUCCAUAUCCACCUUGUGUGCAAUGUCGGUCGAUCUUCUUCAUGGAGAUCGACCAAACAUCAACCUUUAUCUUUUAACUCUUUGUCUGAAAAAUAUUAUGAAUAAACAAUUCAAAAUGACAACUUUUAACGGUGGAUCUCUUGGCUCGG
rnacentral:misc_RNA from 1 species